rnacentral:rRNA from 1 species
UACGGAGGGGUUAGCGUUGUUCGGAAUGACUGGGCGUAAAGCGCGCGUAGGCGGAUCAGGAAGUUUGGGGGGUGAAAUCCCGGGGCUCAAACCCCGGGAAUGGCCUUCAAAACUCCUGGUCUUGAGUUCGAGAGAGGUGAGUGGAAGUUCCGAGUGUAGAGGUGAAAGUUCGUAAGAUAUUCGCAAGAACACCAGUGGCGAAGGCUG